rnacentral:rRNA from 1 species
UGGGGAAUAUUGCGCAAUGGGGGGAACCCUGACGCAGCCAUGCCGCGUGAAUGAAGAAGGCCUUCGGGUUGUAAAGUUCUUUCGGUAUUGAGGAAGGUUGAUGUGUUAAUAGCACAUCAAAUUGACGUUAAAUACAGAAGAAGCACCGGCUAACUCCGUGCCAGCAGCCGCGGUAAUACGGAGGGUGCGAGCGUUAAUCGGAAUAACUGGGCGUAAAGGGCACGCAGGCGGUUAUUUAAGUGAGGUGUGAGAGCCCCGGGCUUAACCUGGGAAUUGCAUUUCAGACUGGGUAACUAGAGUACUUUAGGGAGGGGUAGAAUUCCACGUGUAGCGGUGAAAUGCGUAGAGAUGUGGAGGAAUACCGAAGGCGAAGGCAGCCCCUUGGGAAUGUACUGACGCUCAUGUGCGAAAGCGUGGGGAGCAAACAGGAUUAGAUACCCUGGUAGUCCACGCUGUAAACGCUGUCGAUUUGGGGGUUGGGGUUUAACUCUGGCGCCCGUAGCUAACGUGAUAAAUCGACCGCCUGGGGAGUACGGCCGCAAGGUUA